rnacentral:rRNA from 1 species
AACGAACGCUGGCGGCAUGCCUAAUACAUGCAAGUCGAACGAGAUCUUCGGAUCUAGUGGCGCACGGGUGCGUAACGAGUGGGAAUCUGCACUUGGGUUCGGUAUAACUUCUGGAAACGGAAGCUAAUACAGGAUGAUGACGUAAGUCCAAAGAUUUAUCGCUCAAGGAUGAGCCCGCGUAGGAUUAGGUAGUUGGUGAGGUAAAGGCUCACCAAGCCGACGAUCCUUAGCUGGUCUGAGAGGAGGAUCAGCCACACUGGGACUGAGACACGGCCCAGACUCCGACGGGAGGCAGCAGUAGGGAGUAUUGGACAAUGGGCGAAAGCCUGGUCCAGCAAUGCCGCGGGAGUGAGGAAGGCCGUAGGAUUGUAAAGCUCUUUUACCCGGGAUGAUAAUGACAGUACCGGGAGAAUAAGCUCCGGCUAACUCCGUG